AUUGAACGCUAGCGGGAUGCCUUACACAUGCAAGUCGAACGGCAGCACGGACUUCGGUCUGGUGGCGAGUGGCGAACGGGUGAGUAAUGUAUCGGAACGUGCCCAGUAGCGGGGGAUAACUACGCGAAAGCGUAGCUAAUACCGCAUACGCCCUACGGGGGAAAGCAGGGGAUCGCAAGACCUUGCACUAUUGGAGCGGCCGAUAUCGGAUUAGCUAGUUGGUGGGGUAACGGCUCACCAAGGCGACGAUCCGUAGCUGGUUUGAGAGGACGACCAGCCACACUGGGACUGAGACACGGCCCAGACUCCUACGGGAGGCAGCAGUGGGGAAUUUUGGACAAUGGGGGAAACCCUGAUCCAGCCAUCCCGCGUGUGCGAUGAAGGCCUUCGGGUUGUAAAGCACUUUUGGCAGGAAAGAAACGUCGCGAGUUAAUACCUCGCGAAACUGACGGUACCUGCAGAAUAAGCACCGGCUAACUACGUG
rnacentral:rRNA from 1 species